GAGAUGAAAAUUAAUAAUGGAGGAAGACUGGAAUGUGAUUGUGUGGUACGGAAUAAUGAAAGGUUUACAGAGUAAUGUGGGCUUGGCAGUAGGAAUGAGAAAGGAGAAAGACUAAUUGAUAGGGACCGGAAAAAAUCGUUUAAACGAUAACGCGAAUUCGGCGGUUUUUAAGAAAGUAACGCAGAAUCAGUGAUUUUCAACAAAAUUUCUCUGUGUCUUCGUAAGAAGUCAGUGUAUGAUGUCAGUGCCAUAUUUAAUGUUGAAAUAUUCCAUGUUCAACUGUCGCACUACUUUUAGCAGUCGUGACGUCACUAGUGGCCUUUCAGCUAUCGACUUUUACGACCACGUACGAACGACCACUGUGUGAUUUUCGAUUAUUUCUUUCUUUUGUAGUGUAUGUGUCGCAGUCGGCAGUAUGCCGUUUCAGAGCAAUGGCGGCAUGAAAAUCUAUCAUAAAUACAUCAUCCUGCACAUUAAAUGCAGUUAAUAAUGCAGAAACGAUAUAAGGCUUGAAGAAAUGUGAUCAUUGAGACAGUAGCCGAUUGAGUAACCCAUAACGUAACGGAUAUGUUCGUGUUUUACGAUAUGAAUGGAUGAAUGUAAUGCAAGUAUUUGGAAGGAGGUGGGCGUUAACACUGCCAACACCGUCAUGAAUCAUUCAGCUUACGACUCUACCACAUUUUACAGUAAAAGUAAAGGAAAAAAUCCGAAAGUGUAAUACAAGUAUGUUCUGCAAUAAAUGAUGUUAAUAUUUCCAUCUGA